AACACUCUACAAACCCUUAACUACACUCAACUGACGUACUGCUUUUACAUCUACAGCUGUAAAGCAAGAUUUUACUGUUGUCUGAAAGAGAGCAUGCUUGCUUCAGUCUCUACAAAUACUUCAUCAAGCUCAACACUCUACAAACACUCAACUGAGACAAAUUAAACUUUCAAAUUAAUAUAUUGACUCUUUGCAUCUGGAUCUUGCGUUGUUUCUCGGCUCUCACAUCAAGGUUUCACAUUUUUUGUCGGCUUUUUACAUCUGCCUCUUGCAUUGUUGUAAGUUCUUCCAAAUUUCUUGGUUUUUUUGUAACUUUUAACUGUGGCUUUUAACUUUAGAAGGUUGUAAAUGUUGAAAUAACUGUGGUUUUUGGAUC